UGCAUGAGGGCUGCUUUUCAUUUGGAUGCUUACUCUCUCUUUCCUCAGUGUGUGCAAGCUGUUAUCCCCCUGAUGGGGGUGUUCAAGUGUGCGACCUGUAUGUGCUUCCAUGGAGGCGGCCUCAGUGGGCAGUGCCUGCAGCCAGUAUCUGGCUGCUGGGCCCUUAGCAGUGGCAAGGAUCCAUGGGGAGGUAGAAGCACAGUGACUCUCAGGAAGGUGUGUGUGGAUGUGGGAGGGUGACCAGAGGCUUUGGCAGUGGCAACAGAGGGUGAGGGCAAUGGGUGGUGCUCAAUUGCAGGCCUUCUGUGGCGGCCCCCCUGAGGUGACUCUAGGGCCACAGGCAGUGCCUGUUCACAGGACCCUUAGUGGUGGUGUGGUGCCCCCACCUCAGGAGUCUGAGAUGUCUGUGGUGGUUCUGACCCACCUUUGUCGUCUGCACAAGAAACAUCCCCCCACCUGAGAGCCUGCACAGGGAAAGAAGUUGUUUCGGCAUCCUAGCCCCCUCCUUUCCCCCUCCCCAACAAGGGCGCCCAGGCCUCCUCCCGAGCUCCCUCGGUUGGGUGUGGGUGUGGGUGUGGGUGACACUCCCCUCCCCAGCCCCCGCAGGCUGUCUCCACACAGCCAGCCCUGGUCCUCUGCCAGCAACUCACCUCCAAAGCCCGAGUCUCAGCGCCCAGCCUGCGCCCAAGUGUCUGAGGCUGUGAAGCCCCAGGCAGUGGUGCCAGUGGUCUGUGCGGCUCUCUCUCUGCUUUGCCCUCCUCAGUCCGGCUCCCGCACUUUUCUCUGAGGCGCUGAGGUUCCCCUGCGUUCUGGCUGCUCUCCCCAUCAGUUGGGUGGCCUCCCAGGGUGCAGAUUCCUUUCCUCUUGCAUGGCUCCCUCUCAGGAGUGCUGGUCCUGUCCUGAUUCCUUUUUUCUCUUCUCUCUCUUUUCCCUUUUGUUCUAUCCAGUUAUGUGGAAGGUUUCUUACCCUUUGGGGAGGUCUGAGGUCUCCUGCCAGCAUUCAGUAGAGGUUCUGUGUGAAUCACCCUGCAUGUAGAUGGGAGCUUUUUAAGGUGUUUGCAGGAGAAGGUGAGCGUCCCGUCUUACUCCUCCACCAUCUCGAUCCCAUCCAAGCACUUCUUAUAAACUAACAGUGAAGAACUUCUGCCACUUGGUGCUUACUUGUUACGGGCAACACAGUCUCCCAAAGUAGGCUGCUUCAGAUCCAAGACAAAGGCGACGGGAAAGUUGAUCGUACUGGGCACAAUGCUGCCUGCCUGUGACUUCACUCUGUCUCAGAUCCAGAGUUUGGAAGGACACCGAAUAGGUUUCCUUUCUUUUCUACAGGGCAUCCUCGAGCACUUAAGGCGUCUCUCGGGCCCUCCGCCCCCUUCAAGGAUCUCCAGCCUCUUUACUAAAUAGCCCCUGUUCAGACUCUUCCUCGAAAGCCACAAGCAAACGGCGAGAAGGGAGAAGCUGCCACCCGCACCUGCACUACCAGCUCUGAAGGCCCUGAGAUGAAAUGUUUCUGGCACUGAUGUAUAACUCUGCUAGAUUGUAACUUCAUCACCAAGUUGUAACAGCCCACCUUUCAAAAGCUUCCCGGGGUUGCUCUGCUGCCCCCUUCUGGCCCUGGGAAGCACUCAGGGUGUUGAAGCUGGCGGUGGGGAUGCACUUUCCCCACACAGGGGAGUCGGAACCAGAGGGAACCCAUCCCUUCCAGGGAAGAACCAGGAGUUGCUGUCAUGCUUCAGGAGAGAUAUCGGAGGCGAGAAACAGAAAGGACGCAGGUGGCGGGGAGGAGGGACCCACAAGUGAAGAGAAGCCCGUGGAUGUAGACCUGGACCCCCUGACUUCACAGUGGCCGAGGUCUGCCCGGUUCUGGAUCUGGCUCUUUCAUCAUCUCAAAAGGCCCUGUGUCUUCCCAGCUGUGCAUCGGGGAAAGCCUCUUAACCGCUCUGAGCCUGGUUCCCUCCUCUGUGAAAUGAGGGGUGCUUCUCUCAGUCUGAUCAUGGCUAACAAGGACGCACCAGCAGGCUGCCUGGUAUUGAAGCCGGCCCCCAGAAUCCAGGCUGACGGAGGCCACCUGCAAGCGGAGAUGACAUGCACGGAGGCAGUUAAUUGGUGUCGCGUCAGUUCUGUCACAGCUUUCCUAAUAAAUUAUGAACAAAUUGUGUUUGCUUCCCAGAAAUUUGUCGGUGAGCAAGAACAAUGCCAGGAGGUGUGGAGAGGGCGUGUCAUUGGUGCAUUUCUAAAAUUGCCAGCAGUGGUGGCACAGUUCAUCUGGUUUGUCAAGAUCAAAACUGAGCGGAAGAUGCCAGAGGUGAGAUCGUCAGGAAGAGCGGGAACCAGAACAUCUUUCUGCAUAUUGUGGACUUGUCUGAUCCCAGGACCAUCUGGAAAUGUGUUGAAAAUUCCAAGUGAGAGCAUACCCUCAAUGUCCUGGUGUGUGUGUUCUCACAACUGCCCUGAUCCCCGGCUUGGAGAAAGAGCACGACCCCAGAGUGGACUGUUGGUUCAGAAACUGAAGACCAACGACCUGCAGUCGGAAAGGACAGCAUUCGAUGGCACCAUGGUCUAUGCACAAAACAAGUGGCAGCAGGUGGUUCUGACCAAGCUGUGGGCCCAAGCACACCUGCCAUCCGCUUCUCCUGCAUGCAUCCCGGCUGCAUCGACACCCCAGGAACUAAUGGGAGAUGUGGAAAUCGAGGUUGCUCAUCGCAGCACCGGGGCUCGGCGCCUGCGUUAAUAAACCACGGGCCUCCUGUGCGGGAAAUCUGCUUGGCCCUGAAACCCCUGCUGUGGAUGAGUGUCUACUGGGAAGGAAAACUGUCUUCACUGGGCCAUGAAACAGCAGCUCCCCCAGCUUUUACCUCUCGUGCUUCCUAGAGGACCAAGGGAGGAAAAAUAAAGAAGACAGGACCCUAAAUAGCAAGGGUUCUAAAUCUGUUCUUUCAGCCAACCUGAAGGUCAGAUGCACUUUUGGACUCACAAGGAUGAAUACCCUGAGGUACCUGUUUCUUUUUUGCUUUUUUUCUGUUGUUGCUUUUUAGGGCUGCACCCGCGGCAUAUGGAGGUUCCCAGGCUAGGGGUUGAAUCAGAGCUGCAGCUGCCAACCUACACCACAGCCACAGCAAUGCCAGGUCCGAGCCUCAUCUGUGACCUGGGCCUCCGCUUGUGGCAACGCCAGAUCCUUAACCCACUGAGUGACGCCAGAGGUUGAACCACAUCCUCAUGGAUACUAGUUGGGCUCUUAACCUGCUGAACCACAACGGGAACUCCUUGACGUACCUGUUUUUAAUGAGAGGUAUCAUGACUCACCUCUACCACCUUUUUCAAACCUCCUGGGCUUUAGAUGGGAAAUACAGGCAGCAACUUACUUGAUGUGACA